GAGCAGAGCUUUUGUGCCUAUAAACUGGACCAGUCCAAGGCUUACGAUCGGGUAGAUUGGGUUUUCUUGGAGCGAGUGAUGCAACAGAUGGGUUUCUCUCAUCGAUGGGUGGAUUGGAUAAUGAGGUGUGUCACCUCGUUGAGGUAUUGCGUGAAAGUCAAUGGAGCCUUCUCGGAUUCAUUCGCACCGUCUCGUGGACUACGGCAGGGAGACCCCCUCUCACCUUUCUUAUUCCUUUUUGUUGUCGAUAGUCUUGAUGCUAUUCUUUUUUUUUUGAAAACCACCACAUAUAGUAUUGAUUAA
rnacentral:rRNA from 1 species